rnacentral:sRNA from 1 species
GGAUACAAGGUCAAUCUGUGCGUGGUCUCUGUCACUCCAGCGAUCACCAGGUUUUAUUAGCUGAUCCAGCUGGUGGCAGCCAUGUUCUUUUCUCUUUAUUUCUCCCAGUGUAAUCCUUCUGAUGUUGCAGUCUCAGUCAAAGAAGAGCACCACUGAUAUUGUUAGCAAAGUGUGUGCCCGAGAUUUCCUCUCCGGGCUUCCUCCCAGGCUCUCAUCGCUUCUAAAAGUCACCUCGAAGGGAAAUCCAAGUCCAUGCUGUGUUGCUGGGGCAAGAGGUAGAGCUU